AAUCUCCGAAUGGGGGAUAGCCCGGCGAAAGCCGGAUUAAUACCGCAUAUGCUCUACGGAGGAAAGUGGGGGACUUCGCAAGGGGCCUCACGCUAUGGGAGCGGCCGAUGUCCGAUUAGCUAGUUGGUGGGGUAAAGGCCUACCAAGGCGACGAUCGGUAGCUGGUCUGAGAGGAUGAUCAGCCACACUGGGACUGAGACACGGCCCAG
rnacentral:rRNA from 1 species